rnacentral:tRNA from 1 species
AGGGGGAUUAGCUCAGUUGGCUAGAGCGCUUGCCUGGCAGGCAAGAGGUCACCGGUUCGAAUCCGGUAUUCUCCACAA